rnacentral:rRNA from 1 species
UACAGAGGUCUCAAGCGUUGUUCGGAUUCAUUGGGCGUAAAGGGUGCGUAGGCGGCGCGGUAAGUCGGGUGUGAAAUCUCGGAGCUUAACUCCGAAACUGCAUUCGAUACUGCCGUGCUUGAGGACUGGAGAGGAGACUGGAAUUUACGGUGUAGCGGUGAAAUGCGUAGAUAUCGUAAGGAAGACCAGUGGCGAAGGCGAGUCUCUGGACGACCCCUGACGCUGAGGCACGAAAGCUAGGGGAGCAAACAGG